CACACGACUCUCGGCAACGGAUAUCUAGGCUCUCGCAUCGAUGAAGAACGUAGCAAACUGCGAUACUUGGUGUGAAUUGCAGAAUCCCGUGAACCAUCGAGUCUUUGAACGCAAGUUGCGCCCGAAGCCGUCAGGCCGAGGGCACGUCUGCCUGGGCGUCACGC
rnacentral:rRNA from 1 species